rnacentral:tRNA from 1 species
CUGGGGAUAUAGCUCAGUUGGUAGAGUGUUUGCCUCAAAUGUACAAGUCUCUGGGUUCAAUCCCCCUCCCCACG